AUAAACACUGGCGGCGUGCAUGAGACAUGCAAGUCGAACGAAGGAUCGGGCUUGCUCGAUCCUUAGUGGCGGACGGCUGAGUAACGCGUAGGUGACCUACCCCGAAGUGGGGAAUAACUGCCCGAAAGGGUGGCUAAUACCGCAUGUGGUCGCACGUUCAUUCGUGCGAGUAAAGCCGCAAGGCGCUUCGGGAGGGGCCUGCGUCCGAUUAGCUCGUUGGUGGGGUAAUGGCUUACCAAGGCGACGAUCGGUAGGUGGUCUGAGAGGACGAUCACCCAGACUGGGACUGAGACACGGCCCAGACUCCUACGGGAAGCAGCAGUCGGGAAUUUUGCUCAAUGGGGGAAACCCUGAAGCAGCAACGCCGCGUGAGGGAUGAAGGCCUUCGGGUUGUAAACCUCUUUUGUCAGGGACGAUGAUGACGGUACCUGGCGAAUAAGCCACGGCUAACUACGUG
rnacentral:rRNA from 1 species